rnacentral:rRNA from 1 species
AUUGAACGCUGGCGGCAUGCCUUACACAUGCAAGUCGAACGGUAACGCGGGGCAACCUGGCGACGAGUGGCGAACGGGUGAGUAAUGCAUCGGAACGUGCCCAGUAGUGGGGGAUAGCCCGGCGAAAGCCGGAUUAAUACCGCAUACGACCUACGGGUGAAAGGGGGGGAUCGCAAGACCUCUCGCUAUUGGAGCGGCCGAUGUCAGAUUAGGUAGUUGGUGGGGUAAAAGCCUACCAAGCCUGUGAUCUGUAGCUGGUCUGAGAGGACGACCAGCCACACUGGGACUGAGACACGGCCCAGACUCCUACGGGAGGCAGCAGUGGGGAAUUUUGGACAAUGGGCGCAAGCCUGAUCCAGCAAUGCCGCGUGCGUGAAGAAGGCCUCGGUGUAAGACGUCUUCUAGUGGUAAGG